rnacentral:lncRNA from 1 species
CCGGGGAUAUUUAAGGAUGAGUAGACUAGACUACUCCGAAGGAAGGCUUGUUUUCUAUGUUGACUGCUUUGCACAGAAAAUAAAGCUCAUCAAAGGCUUGAAGUUGCCUUUACUUUGAAAGAAAUACGUCAUCUUCAAAUAUGCAAACCAGGUUUACUGUUGAUAACCCAAGAGUUAUUGACCUUGUGUUUCAGCUGUUCUCAGCGUGCACUUUGGCUUUUUCUGUAAUAAGAUCAUCUUACCAGCAGAUGAUUAUUGAUCACUUAUGACAGAAACAAAAAGCCUUGAGCAGACUAAUCUAUUCAUUGUGCUCAGUGCAAAAUGAUGUAAAAAUUGACAAACACUCCCCUCUUCCUACCCACCCCAACUCACCCCCCCUCAAAAAAUAUAAUGUAGUCACAGUCAAAAACACCAUUUCAGGAUGAAACCCAGAGAACUAGGGAAGAUGGCAAGCAACAGUAAGUUUUACCGAGACCUGCUUGGUGAACAACUACCACCCGGCAAGAGCCAUGGCACUACCAACCAAUCAUGAUCACAAUUGGACUGUCCUCAGCACCUAACCCAAACCUGCUGGGGCCUUCCCCGUGCUGCCCACCCAGGAAGGGGAGAAAAUGUACGGCUGCACGAGAAGGCAGUGGAGCAGGGCUGGCUGGCUCAGGACCCACGGGGCCAUCAGCAUCCUUGCCAACCCAACGCCGACACAGUGGCAAGAUGUGCCCCCAUCCCCAAGUUCUCCGGACGGGCACAGGCAGAUGUGCCUUCAGGUCCCAUGUGUGCCUUGAGGAAAAUUCCUCUGCCUAGUGAGUGUGGAGCUGAAGAGGCCAUUACUGCUUUACUAGCCUCCUACAAGCAUAGCUCAAACCAUCCCAUCUGGCCCUUGCAGCAGCAGCAGAAAGAGGGGUUUUGUCUCAAGCCCUGAACAGAACAGGAGGCACAUGGCGUUACCUGCGCUGCUCAAGUGUGGUGAGCAGGUGGGCAUGUCCUGCAGCUCAGCCCUGCUGCACUGACCACUACCAUGGCACUGCUGCUGACAGAUCUCAAGAUCAGCUGAGGCCAAACUCUUCUGUGUUCAGAUUUGCAUCACCUUUUGAAGUCUCACAUCCAGUCUGGGGUGUGGGGUGUGCUGUGCAACUGGGAGACAAACCAUGUAAGAGAGCCUGAAACACAAAGGAGACUUCAGUUCCUUUCUUCUCUGCAUCCCAUGGAGAGCAGUGCUGUCUAUCCAGCCUCCUGCUGAAAGCAAUAUCAAAAUGAAAAAUAAUCAUAUUAAGGCAAAUCCAGACAAAACAGAGUAUGGGAAGAAGAAAGCAUGUUUAAGAAUUUUCUCCUUAUUUCAAAAGCAUAAAUCUUAAGAUUGUUAAAAUAAGUCUCACUCUCACAUUUUUUGACCUAUUGUUUUUGGAUUCCCAUUGACCUAUCAAAUGUCAUGAGUAAAACUCAUAUGUCUAUCUUCAAUUAAUA